UAACCAACAAGAAUCUCACCCUUGAAUGAACUCCUCCAGUUACCGUCCCAAACAACCUCAGCUGACCCGUCACCUUCCUCAUUCUCCAACGCUGUCCAGCAACCGAACAACCCUCAAACGACCAGCAACCAUCAGUCACAACCAGCUGAAGGCCAUCCGCAACAGUGAGCUCGUUAUCUCUUCUUCUUCAAGCCCAAACGACAACUCCUUCUCCUCCAAUCUCCAUCGCCAGCCUCUCCUCAUCUCAAAACCUCCAGAAACGACCAGCCUGUGCAACCAUGAAACCACUCUUAAGGUUGCCGUUCAUGUUAUGAGUUCCGUUCGAGGUUUCCGUUAGCGAUUUCGCAGUCUCCGGUCGAAGGUUUCCGGUUUGGUCGAGUUUUAUUUGCGGUUCUGGGUUCAACUUGUUAUUGCUUUCUUGGACGGAUUUUGGAGUCAAGAUAUGUGUAAUUGCUGACUUUCUUUGUUAUUGAGGCACAAAGGGGAUUGAAUUUGACUGCUAGUUUAUUGGAUAUCAACUUCCGUUUGGUUUUUGUUUGGAUCGUCAGAUUCACCUAUUUUUACUGUUAGGUAAGUCUCUCAUUUCUCUAUAUUUUUGUUUCCUUUGUGCUGCUAAUAUGAUAUUGUGGUUCGAUAUAUAGAAAUAAGGGAUGUGUCAUGUAGAAUUAUUGAUCUUUGUAGGAUGAAAAUGAAUCCAUGCCUUGAAUAAGCAUAUGCACAUCUUCAUAUCUGGUAUUGUGGUCCGACAGAUAGAAACAAUGGAUGUGUCAUGUAGAAUUAUUGAUCUUUCUAUGAUGAAAAUGAAUUCAUGCCUUGAAUAAGCAUAGACACGUCCUCAUAUACUGAUGUACAUGUGUAUCAUGCAUAUUUUAGUCCCAUUUCCACGUUUUUAUAUAAAUAUAUGCAGUGGCAUGUAAACUUUGAAAUAUUUUCAGCUUAUUUUCUUAGCUCUCCUAGUAAUGUGGAUCAAUGUUCCUUGCUAAUAUUUGUUACUGUGUAAAUAUAUUUUGGCUAGCAUUAUGUAAAAACAGAAUAUGCAAAUUGAUAAUGUCAAAGAAUAUAUUGAUUCCAUAUCAAUUUAUUAGAAAAAUCAUGGCCCUCACUUAAUUAAUUUUAACCAUAUAGAAAUCGGGACGUGCCAUUAGUUGGAUUUUUCAUGGCCCUCGCAAAGUAAAAAAAAAUAUUGUAGUUGCAUUAGGUUUGCCUUUCAAAUAAUAAAAUGAGACGAGUCUUUCCCAAUAAAUUGCAAAUUGCGGGGCCCUCUAUACAUGUUUGUUAUGCAAGAUUGCUUAGACACCGGAACGGGCCGUUUAAACAAAAGUCCACGGCCUCGCCCAAAAUAAUACUGCGCUAGUCGCUUAGGGCGCGUCUUUAAUGAAGUUACUUCCCUAAAUACGGGCAUGCAUUUAUGCAACCCAAAUCCAAAUAUCAACGAAGUCGAAAUGUGUCGAUGACCACGCGUACACUGGUUGUGACGUGGUUUGAGACAUUUUUCAUGACGUUGCAAUUCUUUUCCAAAAUGACAACAAUAAUAAUUAAAAGAGCCUUGACUUGCACUAAUUACAUAACUGUUAAAAUCAGAUAAAUAAGCCGAAUACGACAGUUGAGCGACCGUGCUAGAACCACGGAACUCGGGAUUGCCUAACAUCUUCUCCCGGAUUAACAGAAUUCCUUAUCCGGAUUUCUGGUUCACGGACUGUCGUACAGAGUCAAUAUUUUCCUCGAUUCGGGAUUCAAACGGUGACUUGGGACACCAUAAAUCUCCCAAGUGGCGACUCUGAAUCUUUAAUGAUAAAUUCCAUUUCGAUUAUCCUUUAAUUGAAAACACUCCCUUGCGCCCCGCAAUGGCGGAAAAAGGAGGUGGUGCAACCAUGACUUUAGGAUUUUUUUUUUGUGUGUUGGGACUAUGCAACAUGUAUUUAUGAUUAUGUCCAUUUUUUCAUGUAAAAUAAUUGAUCGACUCCUAUUGGGCUGAAAUUUUGUAGGUCCAUAGGAAACGAACUAGUGACCAAUACUCAUUGCUUUGCCAUGGCUUUCAGCUUCAUUUUAUGGUGUUUUGUGGUCAUGC
rnacentral:lncRNA from 1 species